rnacentral:rRNA from 1 species
UGGGGAAUAUUGCACAAUGGGCGCAAGCCUGAUGCAGCCAUGCCGCGUGUAUGAAGAAGGCCUUCGGGUUGUAAGUACUUUCAGUCGGGAGGAAGGUGGUAAGGUUAAUAACCUUGGCAAUUGACGUUACCCGCAGAAGAAGCACCGGCUAACUCCGUGCCAGCAGCCGCGGUAAUACGGAGGGUGCAAGCGUUAAUCGGAAUUACUGGGCGUAAAGCGCACGCAGGCGGUUUGUUAAGUCAGAUGUGAAAUCCCCGGGCUCAACCUGGGAACUGCAUCUGAUACUGGCAAGCUUGAGUCUCGUAGAGGGGGGUAGAAUUCCAGGUGUAGCGGUGAAAUGCGUAGAGAUCUGGAGGAAUACCGGUGGCGAAGGCGGCCCCCUGGACGAAGACUGACGCUCAGGUGCGAAAGCGUGGGGAGCAAACAGG